rnacentral:rRNA from 1 species
GACAGAGGGUGCAAACGUUGUUCGGAAUUACUGGGCGUAAAGCGCGUGUAGGCGGCUUGGCAAGUCGGGUGUGAAAGCCCUGGGCUCAACCUAGGAAGUGCACUCGAAACUGCCUCGCUAGAGUGUCGGAGAGGGUAGUGGAAUUCUCGGUGUAGAGGUGAAAUUCGUAGAUAUCGAGAGGAACACCGGUGGCGAAGGCGGCUACCUGGACGACGACUGACGCUGAGACGCGAAAGCGUGGGGAG